rnacentral:rRNA from 1 species
UACGUAGGUGGCAAGCGUUGUCCGGAAUUAUUGGGCGUAAAGCGCGCGCAGGCGGUCCUUUAAGUCUGAUGUGAAAGCCCACGGCUCAACCGUGGAGGGUCAUUGGAAACUGGGGGACUUGAGUGCAGAAGAGGAAAGCGGAAUUCCACGUGUAGCGGUGAAUGACGUAGAGAUGUGGAGGAACACCAGUGGCGAAGGCGGCUCUCUGGAACGCAACUGACGCUGAGACGCGAAAGCGUGGGGAGCAAACAGG